UACGAAGGGGGCUAGCGUUGCUCGGAAUCACUGGGCGUAAAGGGUGCGUAGGCGGGUCUUAAGUCAGGGGUGAAAUCCUGGAGCUCAACUCCAGAACUGCCUUUGAUACUGAGAUCUUGAGUUCGGGAGAGGUGAGUGGAACUGCGAGUGUAGAGGUGAAAUUCGUAGAUAUUCGCAAGAACACCAGUGGCGAAGGCGGCUCACUGGCCCGAUACUGACGCUGAGGCACGAAAGCG
rnacentral:rRNA from 1 species